CGCGUAGGUGGUAGUGUAAGUCUGGGGUGGAAUGCCGGGGCUUAACCCUGGAAUUGCCUUGGAAACUGCAUUACUUGAGUCAGUGAGGGGAGGGUAGAAUUCCUGGUGUAGCGGUGAAAUGCGUAGAUAUCAGGAGGAAGGCCUGUGGCGAAGGCGGCCCUCUGGUGCUGGACUGACACUGAGGCGCGAAAGCGUGGGGAGCAAACAGGAUUAGAUACCCUGGUAGUCCACGCCCUAAACGGUGGGCACUAGGUGUAGGGCUCGUAAGGGUUCUGUGCCGAAGGGAAACCAUUAAGUGCCCCGCCUGGGGAGUACGACCGCAAGGUUGAA
rnacentral:rRNA from 1 species